rnacentral:rRNA from 1 species
UUGUCGAAACCUGCAAAGCAGAACGACCCGCGAACCGUUGCGAAAACAACGGCGGGGCGGGGGCGAGCAGCGGGCCAGUCCCGCUCUCUCCCCCCGGACCCGCCCCACGAACAAAACCCCGGCGCGAGACGCGCCAAGGAAUCGAAAACGAAAACAAAGGGAACGGGCGGCCCGUCGCGUGCCGGAAACGGAUUUCUCGCGGGCGGCCCUCUCCCGAUCGGAAACAAAACGACUCUCGGCAACGGAUAUCUCGGCUCUCGCAUCGAUGAAGAACGUAGCGAAAUGCGAUACUUGGUGUGAAUUGCAGAAUCCCGUGAACCAUCGAGUCUUUGAACGCAAGUUGCGCCCGAAGCCUUCGGGCCGAGGGCACGUCUGCCUGGGUGUCAUGCAUCGUCGCCCCCCCAUCCUUCCGGCUCCCCACGAGGGGGAAGGGGGUACGGGGCGGGCGGAGAAUGGUUUCCCGUGCGCUCCCGCUCGCGGUUGGCCGAAAUACGAGUUGUUGGCGGCCGAGAGCGCCACGGCAAGCGGUGGUUGUCAAAAGACCUUCGGAGAUUGCCGCGGCGAGGCCGUCACGAGGCUCCGGGACCCUGUUUUCUAUCCACGGCGACCCCAGGUCAGGCGGGAUUACCCGCUGAG